GGUCGUAACGUGCUACAUUUUCUCUGUUACAUUUACUUAUGUCAUUUUGGGGGAAAAAUUUACUUGUCUGAGUAGUUUCAAUAUAGAUACUUGAGUAUUUUCGAAACGGUACUUUUUCUUAGUUACAGCGAGCUACAUUCUAUCGGGCUACAUUCUAUUAUUAUUUCCGCGAGCUACUUGUUUUGGUUUGUUAGAGACUUCCGCCUUGGGUGCCGUCAUAUGAGUCUGUUUCUCCAAUCCAACGGAGCUACAAGUAAUGUGAGACUGUUAGUCAAAGUGACACAUUUCCUGGAAACUGGUAGAAACACAGAAAAAAAACGCCUCUGUACUCUCUGCCUGGCAGAAUUCUUGAUGCAUAUUGGGUGCCACUGGAAUGGGAAGGUGCACCUCAGGAAUUGUUUGGCAGAUACGGCCAUCAUGAUGCAGGACAAACCAAAGCAUGAGCUGUAACCAGAGAAACUACUGUGAUACCGCCAACAUGUGACAUCAUCUCAUCACGGCACAUUCAUACCACUUUUAAAAUGUGUGUCAGCGUCAUCUUACUCAUCCAUGACUGUGUGUUCGUGAAUGAGUAAUACCAAUGUAACUAUUGUGCAACAUGGCCAGCAUGCAAGUGAAUAAUAAGGGAAAGUGGUUGAUAUUUGCAAUUCAUUUUGUUAAUGUUAUGCUUAAAAAUUACAUUUCUCGGUUAACUUUAUUUUUCUCCUGAUUUAAAAAUAUCCUGGGUGUGUUUGAAUUUCCACAACUGACAGGCACUGUAACACUUUUAUAGCCCUUCACUAUUGACAGCCUCAAGUCUAAACACACAUUCUCAUGACUACUGACUCAGAAAUGAAACAUGCAGAAACA